rnacentral:rRNA from 1 species
GAGACCGGCGCACGGGUGCGUAACGCGUAUGCAAUCUACCUUUUACAGAGGGAUAGCCCAGAGAAAUUUGGAUUAAUACCUCAUAGUAUAGCAGUUUGGCAUGAAACCACUAUUAAAGUCACAACGGUAAAAGAUGAGCAUGCGUCCCAUUAGCUAGUUGGUAAGGUAACGGCUUACCAAGGCUACGAUGGGUAGGGGUCCUGAGAGGGAGAUCCCCCACACUGGUACUGAGACACGGACCAGACUCCUACGGGAGGCAGCAGUGAGGAAUAUUGGACAAUGGGCGCAAGCCUGAUCCAGCCAUGCCGCGUGCAGGAUGACGGUCCUAUGGAUUGUAAACUGCUUUUAUACGAGAAGAAACACUCCAACGUGUUGGAGCUUGACGGUAUCGUAAGAAUAAGGAUCGGCUAACUCCGUGCCAGCAGCCGCGGUAAUACGGAGGAUCCAAGCGUUAUCCGGAAUCAUUGGGUUUAAAGGGUCCGUAGGCGGUUUAAUAAGUCAGUGGUGAAAGCCCAUCGCUCAACGGUGGAACGGCCAUUGAUACUGUUAGACUUGAAUUAUUAGGAAGUAACUAGAAUAUGUAGUGUAGCGGUGAAAUGCUUAGAGAUUACAUGGAAUACCAAUUGCGAAGGCAGGUUACUACUAAUGGAUUGACGCUGAUGGACGAAAGCGUGGGUAGCGAACAGGAUUAGAUACCCUGGUAGUCCACGCCGUAAACGAUGGAUACUAGCUGUUGGAAGCAAUUUCAGUGGCUAAGCGAAAGUGAUAAGUAUCCCACCUGGGGAGUACGUUCGCAAGAAUGAAACUCAAAGGAAUUGACGGGGGCCCGCACAAGCGGUGGAGCAUGUGGUUUAAUUCGAUGAUACGCGAGGAACCUUACCAAGGCUUAAAUGUAGAUUGACCGGUUUGGAAACAGAUCUUUCGCAAGACAAUUUACAAGGUGCUGCAUGGUUGUCGUCAGCUCGUGCCGUGAGGUGUCAGGUUAAGUCCUAUAACGAGCGCAACCCCUGUUGUUAGUUGCCAGCGAGUCAAGUCGGGAACUCUAACAAGACUGCCAGUGCAAACUGUGAGGAAGGUGGGGAUGACGUCAAAUCAUCACGGCCCUUACGCCUUGGGCUACACACGUGCUACAAUGGCCGGUACAGAGAGCAGCCACUGGGCGACCAGGAGCGAAUCUAUAACACACCGGUCACAGUUCGGAUC